ensembl:lncRNA
ACAGAUAGGAACUCAGUCUCCUUGAGAUCAUUGCUUAUGUUUUUGUGCUCCCUGAAGUGAUGUUUGGGAGCUGCAAUCACCUGUCUUUGUUUUUCAAUCCAAAAAAGGAUGAAUAAUAAGAGAAAAUAAGAUGUCAGAAAAGAGGAGGAACUUCUCUAGGAACCUCUAUAUACCUAACCCAUCCAUUUCUCCUCAGCUGAUUUUCUAAGGAGAGCAUAUGGGUCUCCCUUCAUCACCUCUGUAACUGCAAAACUUCGUGGCUGACCUCAGUUAAAGGAUGGAGGAAGAAAAGAAACUUCAAAAAUAUUAAAUUCUUGUAUCUUAAAUGAAAUUUAGGUGCAGAAAAGUUACACCAAAAACCCCGGUCCAGCCUGAGAUGCUAACCUGGACUGAACCUUGUGCUCAGAAGACAGAGGGUCCUUUCCAAAAGGCCUUUGAUUUCCUAAUGACUCUCCAAAGCAUAUUCACUUUUCUCCCUGGGAAGAUUUCAGCACUCCAGUAUUUUUUGUUGUUGUUGUUGUUGUUGUUUUUUAUGUCUCUACUUUGCAAAGGACAUCUAUUUAAUCAAACAGUAAAAAAAAAAUUGCAGGACCUGAAAAUACAAGAAAGCUGACAUCCAACCAGAGAACUCUAAAUAACAAACACUUGAAGUACUCACUAUAGUCAGGCUCAGAUGUGUUUGGAAAAAGCUCUUCAUCAACCAAGUAAUAAAAGCCAUGAUCAAUUCACAGAAAAUUCUCCAAGAGAUAAAGGGUCAAAUCUGAUGAAUGAAUUGUUCAUGAGGGCCGUUUUGAUGAGCUAUAAUUUUGUGAGCAAAAUCCCAUCAUCUUUUGUCUCCUGAUUGCAUGAUAACCACAUAAAAGGAAGAGAAUAGAAAGGAGAUUAAGUUCUCGCAGUCAGUAAGAGAUGUUGUAUUGAUUCUAAGUUGUUGCUAGGUAAAUAAUUAAACCAUGAUUUCACUGUUGAUUUUAUUUGUCUGCUGUGUGUAAAGGUUACUUAGAUACAUCGGUGAAAAAUUAAUUAAUAUAUUUCUGCCACUGCUCAAAUAAUGGAAAUCCAUAAAAAUAAAAUUACUGUAGAGGUUUGAAACCCCUCAUUAAUGAUCCGCCUCGGCUUCAGAAAAUGUCUCAGUGGUCUAAUGGCCCUGACAGAUAAGGCCAUCUUUCUUCGUUUUUUUUUUAAAGUCUUCACCAUAGUUGCCGCAAUAAAUAGAUAUCUGUGAGUGGAUGAUGUAGCUUAACCAACCAGAUUUGAUGUGCCAAGGUUUACCAGGGCUAUAUACUGUCUGUUCUUGGUGUCCCACCUGGCUGAACCCUUGCCUGUGCAGAUCCAAAGCAUCAGCUGUCCUCAUGCACUGCACCAAGGGAAGGGCAAUGCUGAGCAAACCGAGGAUGUCACUCAGUGGUUAUAACGAAACUGCUGUACCCCUCCCUUUCCCACAGUAAAACUUAGCUGCAAUGUGACACGUACCUACAAACUGCAGCAAAAGACAAAAGGCAGAGAAGGUCUGAACGAUGAAGCCUGUGAGUAAUUAGCAUGAUGAAACCUGAGGCAUAUUUGUUCGCACCACAUCCAUGCUAAUUGCCCAUUUACCAGGCUAAUUUAACAUCAGUUAUUUCUGGGUUCAUUCCAUCAUCAGUGUAUUUCUCUUGUAACUAGGCUACUGUAAUUUCAACAUCAACUGUGUUUUGACUUUCAUUUGCUUGUAACCCUUAAAUAUCCACAGGGAAGCUCAAUUUGCUGUGAGUUCUACUGUUUAAAUGUCUUAUAUAAAAAAGCUGGCGAAUUUGCAUUUCAGAUACCAACAUGCCCAUUUCAAGGACACAGGACCUAGUAAUUCCUGAUCACCACGUGGUCACCCAAUACAGUUCUGACAGUUCUGUUUUCUGCAGAUUUUGCACUAUUUAAUUUCCCUCAAAAUUCAGUCAUUCAAAAAAGUCUCCCAGUCAUUAAAGUGAUUAGUUUCUUUUGUGCAUUUGAAUGAUUGUGGUGAAUAAGAAUUAGAAAGCAUAAGUGAUAUUGUGUAGUGUGAAAUAGAACUUAAUUUGCAAGAUUAGAGAAUUGAUUUGGUAUGUCCUUUCCAAUAUUAAUGUGUUGGCUUCUGUUAUAUUUAUAGACAUUUAUAUUUUCCAUUAUCUACCAAUAAAACAUUGUUUCUUUUCCUGUAUCCUUGUAGGAUAGUAUCCAUGUAGGAUAGUAUCUCUUAGUAUCCUUGUAGGAUUCUAAGUUUCAUUUUUACUUCCAGGGAAAGAUGAAAGUUACUUUUCACGUUUAUGAAAGCAAAUGAGACAUUUGU